GGUCUCGAGGUGAAAGAUCCGUCGGUCCGGGAUGGGCAUGCGGCGCAUUAGCUAGUUGGCGGGGCAACGGCCCACCAAGGCGACGAUGCGUAGGGGUUCUGAGAGGAAGGUCCCCCACACUGGUACUGAGACACGGACCAGACUCCUACGGGAGGCAGCAGUGAGGAAUAUUGGUCAAUGGACGGUAGUCUGAACCAGCCAAGUCGCGUGCGGGAUGAAGGCCCUCCGGGUCGUAAACCGCUUUAGCCGGGGAGUAACGUGCGGCACGUGUGCCGCAGUGAGAGUACCCGGAGAAUAAGCAUCGGCUAACUCCGUGCCAGCAGCCGCGGUAAUACGGAGGAUGCGAGCGUUAUCCGGAUUUAUUGGGUUUAAAGGGUGCGCAGGCGGCGAGUCAAGUCAGCGGUCAAAAUUCGGCGCUCAACGCCGUACCGCCGUUGAAACUGGCGCGCUCGAGUUUGUGCGAGGAUGGCGGAAUGCGCGGUGUAGCGGUGAAAUGCAUAGAUAUCGCGCAGAACCCCGAUUGCGAAGGCAGCUGUCCAGCACACUACUGACGCUCAUGCACGAAAGCGUGGGUAUCGAA
rnacentral:rRNA from 1 species